UUGAGCUCAGAUCAGGUAGGACUACCGCCUGAACUUAAGCAUAUCAAUAAGGCGAGGAACAGAAACCAACAGGGAUUCCCCUAGUAGUGGCGAAUGAAGCGGGAAAAGCUCAAGUUUGAAAUCUGGCGGGCGACCUCCAGAGUUGUAAGCUGAAGAGGCGUAGACCGACGCGGUCCGGGCUCAAUUUCCUUGGAACAGGAGGUCAUGGAGGGUGAGAACCCCGUCUGUGGCUCGGGAGCCGUCGUCCUUGUGUCUUGCCCUCGUAGAGUCGGGUUGUUUGGGAAUGCAGCUCAAAAUGGGUGGUAAAUUUCAUCUAAGGCUAAAUAUUGGCGAGAGACCGAUAGCAAACAAGUAGAGUGAUCGAAAGAUGAAAAGUACUUUGAAAAGAGAGUGAAACAGUACGUGAAAUUGUUGAAAGGGAAGCGUUUGGCAUCAGCCCAUGGCUCCCAAAGAUCAUCUGGGCUUCUGUCCAGUGCACUUUUUGGGAGUCGGGCCAGCGUCGACUUUGCCCGCCGGAGAAAGGCCUUGGGGAUGUGGCUCCCUUCGGGGAGCGUUAUAACCCUCGGCGUCAUGCGGUGUGGUGGGGUCGAGGUCCGCGGUUAUCCUAGGACGCUGGCGUAAUGGUUCCAAGCGA
rnacentral:rRNA from 1 species